rnacentral:rRNA from 1 species
AGCUCCAAUAGCGUAUAUUAAAGUUGUUGCAGUUAAAAAGCUCGUAGUUGGAUUUGUGGUUGAUCGGAAUCGCCUGACAUUCGUGUCGGUGUGGGUUUCGUUCGCCAUCCUUGGGUGGAAUCUAUGUGGCAUUAGGUUGUCGUGUAGGGGAUGCCCAUCUUUUACUGUGAAAAAAUUAGAGUGUUCAAAGCAGGCUUACGCCGUUGAAUAUAUUAGCAUGGAAUAAUAAGAUAGGAUCUCGGUACUAUUUUGUUGGUUUGCGCACUGAGAUAAUGAUUAAUAGGGACAGUUGGGGGUAUUCGUAUUCCAUUGUCAGAGGUGAAAUUCUUGGAUUUUUGGAAGACGAACUACUGCGAAAGCAUUUACCAAGGAUGUUUUCAUUAAUCAAGAACGAAAGUAC